rnacentral:rRNA from 1 species
ACACGGGGGGCGCAAGCGUUAUUCGGAAUUAUUGGGCGUAAAGGGCGCGUAGGCGGUUUUGUCGGUCAGAUGUGAAAGCCCGGGGCUCAACCCCGGACGUGCAUUUGAAACAGCAAGACUUGAGUACGGGAGAGGAAAGCGGAAUUCCUGGUGUAGAGGUGAAAUUCGUAGAUAUCAGGAGGAACACCGAUGGCGAAGGCAGCUUUCUGGACCGAUACUGACGCUGAGGCGCGAAGGCGUGGGUAGCGAACAGGAUUAGAAACCCCGGUAGUCC